UACGAAGGGGGCGAGCGUUGUUCGGAUUUACUGGGCGUAAAGGGCGCGCAGGCGGCUCAUUUUGUCAGGCGUGAAAGCCCCGGGCUUAACCUGGGAACUGCGUUUGAUACGGAUGGGCUAGAGUUCGGGAGAGGAGAGUGGAAUUCCCAGUGUAGAGGUGAAAUUCGUAGAUAUUGGGAAGAACACCGGUGGCGAAGGCGGCUCUCUGGACCGAGACUGACGCUGAGGAGCGAAAGCGUGGGGAGCAAACAGG
rnacentral:rRNA from 1 species